UGAGGUAUACAAAUGGUGAGAGCACAUUUUCUUGCACGUUCCAGAUCUUAAGAGGAAAGUAUUUGAUCUUUAAAUGUUUCAAUAUAAGGAAAAUUUCUGCUUCUGAGACAUAUUACCCUAAUGACUCUUGUGAAUCUUAUAACUGAUCACAUUUACUCAUUGGCUUUGACUGAAAGGAUUCUAAAACUAAACUUGUGGCUCACAUCUAAAAAUUGUCCAGGAUUCUACGUUGGAGUCCCAGAAGAGAAAGAGAAGAAAUGGAUCUGAGGCAAUAUUCUGAAGACAUGAUUGCAGAUAAUCCACUAAUUCAAGAAGCCUUACAAAGUCCAAGCAGAAUAUGUAAAAAUAAAUCCUCAUCUAAACAUGUAACAAUGAAAUUUUAGUAAAUCAAGACAAGGAGAAAAAUGUUCAAAUACCUAGAAAAAAACAGAUUAGCCUUGAGGAAGCUGCAGUUAAACUCACCACUGACAUCUCAAUGAUGCAAUCUUCAAAAGACAGUGAAAUGGUAUUUUCAUGGUACUGCGGGAAAAUAAGUAUCAUCCUAGAAAUGCUUCAGUAAUGAAGACAAAAUUAAUGUAUUUUCAAGGUAA